rnacentral:rRNA from 1 species
UACGUAGGGCGCAAGCGUUAUCCGGAAUUAUUGGGCGUAAAGAGCGCGUAGGCGGUCCGAUAAGUCGGCUGUGAAAGUCAGGGGCUCAACCCUUGAAAGCCGGCCGAUACUGUCGGACUAGAGUCCGGAAGAGGCAAGUGGAAUUCCCGGUGUAGCGGUGAAAUGCGCAGAUAUCGGGAGGAACACCAAUGGCGAAGGCAGCUUGCUGGGACGGUACUGACGCUGAGGCGCGAAAGCGUGGGGAGCAAACAGG